UUAUCUUUUAAAAAUAUAUAAAAGUAUAUCUCCCGUACGUUGAAAGAGCUUUGAAACGUUAUAUUUGCGAUUACCAUAUAAGGAAUAACUGUUCCGGGAGCUUUAAAAAUUUAACAAUGCCGGGCCCUCAGACACUUGUGAUGUAUGGCUUGAUUGGCAUCCUUAUCGUGGUUAUUGUAAUCAUCUCUUUAAUCCUGAUCGUUGGGUUAUAUAUUCAUGAUCCGAAUCGUAGCACAACCCCAAAUGUGACGACAACGGAGGAAAACUGGACAACCACUUAACCAUCACUAAUAAUCUUUACAAUAUUUUUCGGAUUUACUGACUUUUUCUUCAGAUUUUUAUUAGUCAAAUUUAAAUUUUAAAAUUCCAAGUCUUAAAACUAAUCGAAUAAUGUUGUCUAAUAAACGAAUCCAAUAUUCA